AGUCAUCUUACUCAACACACUCAUAUUUUUUCGGUCAUCGCGCGAUAUAUUCUGUCACUAAUUUUCAGUUGUAGUUAUUUGAAUUAUUUUUACAAUUUAUUGGAAUUCAGAACAAUUUUUGGUUGUAAAUACUACUUGAUUUUCUAUGUUGAAGCAGUUGUUGUCGUCCCGUAUCUACUGUUCUCGUAAUUUCGUUGCUACACACAGCAUAUUGGAAGUAAAUUUGAUUGAUGAACUUGUUGAACGAACUGCAGAUUGAUCGAUCGAAAUGGCGCGCCGAAAAUCAGUACCCGAACCCGCUCGUCUGAAGAAACGGAGGCAAAACGAUGUCAAACUGGAUAAGAAGAUUUUAUUAUUACAAAAUUCCGAUAUUCCCAUGAUUCCAAAACUACCGUUCAGCCGAUUGGUGAGAGAAACCAUGCAACAAUAUAAGGAAGAUUUUCGGAUUACUGUUACGGCAUUGAGUGCGCUUCAGGAAGCCUGCGAACUUUACUUAACAUAUUUAUUCAACGAUGCAUACUUACUGACCUAUCACCGACGACGAGUGACUUUGGAUCGUUCCGAUAUUCGAAUGGUGCUGCAUCUUCGCGAAGGGUCGCACAAAUGAAAUGUUUGUCGGGAUCCGAUUUUGUUGUUUAUUUUUAACUGUUUAUUUUCUCUGUAUUCAUUCAAACAACAACACAAUUUGUACAAGAAAAACCGCCGUCAUACUUCUGAUGGAAUAAAAUGGUCAAAGGAAGUUUAUUAUCGAAGCUGCAGAUUAUUAUGAUAGAAUUGUCUGUUGAGAAUUGAUGUAAUUAGCAAUCGCAUGAUUUAUUAUGAUUUCACGUUAGCAGUAAAAUAAUUAUGUAGAAGAUUUCGUUUGACUUUUUGCGCCUUGGAAAAAAGAUAAAUUAAAAUCGAAUUGUCCUUAGAAUAAUUGUAAGAUCAUCCGAGUUUUUGUAAACCAAUUGUCUGUCGAAUUAAGACUUAUCUCAUUUUGUUAUGAAUUAAAAACGUACGUCUCAUGAGAAUUCACUUAAUAUACCAAUCUUUGUUGUUCCAUCGACGACGUGACUCUUGUAAUAUAUCAGUAUUUGCAUUGUUUUUCUCUUGUGUUUCACAUGGAUUAGAAUUUAAGAAAUUUGUUAUAGCCUCGAAUUGUCAAUGAUAGAUUUACUUAAAUAAAAGUGAUAAACCAAA